rnacentral:rRNA from 1 species
AGCAGCCGCGGUAAUUCCAGCUCCAAUAGCGUAUAUUAAAGUUGUUGCAGUUAAAAAGCUCGUAGUUGAAUUUCGGGGUCAGUAGGUCGGUCGUGCCACUGGUAUGAACUGGUUUUACUGAUUCCUCCCUCUUGAAGAACUGUAAUGCCAUUAAUUUGGUGUUGCAGGGAAUCAGGACUGUUACUUUGAAAAAAUUAGAGUGUUUAAAGCAGGCUUUAGCUUGAAUACAUUAGCAUGGAAUAAUGAAAUAGGACGUUUGAUCCUAUUUUGUUGGUUUCUAGGAUUGACGUAAUGAUUAAUAGGGAUAGUUGGGGGCAUUAGUAUUCAAUUGUCAAAGGUGAGAUUCUUGGAUUUAUUGAAGACUAACUACUGCGAAAGCAUUUGCCAAGGAUGUUUUCAUUAAUCAAGAACGAAAGUUAGGGGAUCGAAGACGAUCAGAUACCGUCGUAGUCUUAACCAUAAACUAUGCCGACUAGGGAUCGGAUGAUGUUAAUUUUUUAAUGACUCAUUCGGCGCCUUACG